rnacentral:lncRNA from 1 species
UGCAGCAGAAAAGAACCUGACUAGGAACCAUGAGGUUGCAGGUUCGAUCUCUGGCCUCACUCAGUGGGUUAAGGAUCCAGCAUUGCCUUGAGCUGUGGUGUAGGUUGCAGAUGUAGCUCAGAUCUGGAUUUGCUGUGGCUGUGGUGUAGGCUGGAAGCUGUAGCUCUGAUUCUACCCCCAGCCUGGGAAUCUCCAUAUGCUGUGGGUGUGGCCAUAAAAAGCAAACAAAACAAAACACAGCACAAAAAACACUUAAGUCUUUAGAUGAAUGAUCCAAUCCAAGAUUACUUUAUUGUGAGUUGUUGUAGUUAUAGAUCAUGAACCAAUUUAAAUAUAAUGUUUACUUGUAAAAAAUUACUUUGUAUUUUCUUCACAAAAAAGAUUAUGAUGGCAUAAUUGAUUUUAUUUAACUCAGUGGUUUUUAAUCAGGGCUAUAUAUUUUCAUACAGGGUUAAACAAAUUUCUAUUGCAAAAAAUGGUUUAAAACUAGUAUUGAAAAAUUUUGCAAACUUCAAUAAGUGGCAACAUCAGAAGAGCUUGAUUUAGGACUUUAGGUCAAAAUUAACUUUAAUUCAGUGUCUUGAUAAAGUCCCUUGUUUUUGUUAUUAUAAUAUUUCUGAGAAAAUUUCUUUUUUUUUCUUUUCUUUCUUUUUUAAAUUUAUUUUAAUUUUUUAAUAGGUAUUUCCCCAAUACAAUUUUUAUUUCUACGGUACAGCACAGUGACCCAGUUACACAUACAUGUAUACAUUCUUUUUUCGCACAUUACGUGUUCCAUCAUAAGUGAUGUAGCUCAGAUCUGGAUUUGCUGUGACUGUGGUGUAGGCUGGAAGCUGUAGCUCUGAUUCUACCUACCCCCAGCCUGGGAAUCUCCAUAUGCCGUGAGUGUGGCCAUAAAAAGCAAAAAACAAAACAAAACAAAACACUUAAGUCUUUGGGUGAGUGAUCCAGUCCAAGAGUUCCAAGUGCUACACAGCAGGAUCUCAUUGCUAAUCCAUUCCGAAGGCAGUAGUUUGUAUCUAUUAACCCCAAGCUCUCAAUCCCUCCCACUCCCUCUCCCUCCCCCUUGGCAACCAGAAGUCUCUUCUCCAAGUCCGUGAUGUUCUUUUCUUGGUUGCUCAACAGUAGAAUCAGUACCGUAUAAGGCAGACUUAAAACUUUCCCAAACUCUUUUUCUCAAAUUUUAUCUUUGAGAUUUUCAAAUGAACAGAGUGAUUUUCCUUGUAACAAUUGUUUUUCUGUAUUGCUUCCUUAAAAUGUUUUACUUCCAAUUAGUAAGAAAAGUUGAUUUUUUUUAGCUUAAUUGGUUUGAGCUUACCUUGUUGCAGUCUCAAAUUGUCAUCACGACAUGUAUGUCGGUAUCAUUACCAAUUCAGUGCUAGAAGAUAAUUAUUACCUUUUAAAUGUUUUCAUUCUUGAAACUUUCCUGUUUUUAACAGGUAAAAUUCCCUGUUUCACUCAUUUCUUCCCAUGAUAGUAUAGAUUGUUGUGUUGCAUGGAGAAAACGCUGCAGUUUCUAAAUAGUACCUUUAAAU